rnacentral:lncRNA from 1 species
UCGAAUCCAAAGACAUGGGUCGUGAUCGGCGUGACUGUAGCCGGGAUCGUGAUCUUGGCGGAGACUCGGAAGCGCCGGAUCAAAGCCCUCAGAGAAGAGCACUUCGGUGCCUUUUUAGAUCGUUUCGAGCUUCUUCCUUUUCCUCCGCCUCCUCCUCCAGCCGCUAAACAAACCCUCUCCGGUCUCACCUUCUCCAUCUCCGACGCGUAUGUCCCCUCUCUCGAAAGUUCUUACCUUUUUUUUUAAUUAUUAUUUACAACGAUCUAGCUUGAAAGUUUUGAUUUUUAUUUCAGUAGAAAAAAGGUUUGAUUUUUAUUUAAGCAAAAAGAAAGUUUUGAUUUUUAUGGUUUAGUUGAAUGUUUUGACUUUGCUUUAGACGAUGAAUGAGGAUUAUUUGGUUUUGGGCAGGUUUGAUAUAAAGGAUUAUAUCACAGGCUUUGGUAGUCCACAUUGGAAGAAGACUCAUGAGGCUGCUGAGAAAACUGCUGUGGUUGUGACUACGCUCUUGAGAAAUGGAGCUACUUGUGUUGCUAAGACUGUCAUGGAUGAGAUGGGUUUUGGGUAUUUCUCCAUCCCCAUCUUUCUUCCCAUCAAAUGAGUGUUCUGUGAUUGAUUUGUAGUUGGUUUUUGCAGGAUAACUGGUGAGAACAAGCACUAUGGCACUCCUAUUAAUCCGUUGAUGCCGUCUAAUGUUCCUGGAGGCUGUUCCAGUGGCUCUGCAGUUUCUGUUGCGGCUGAACUCGUUGACUUUGCACUUGGUAUUUUGUUAAUCUCUUUUGUUUCCCUAAUUGGAUGUGUACUUUUGGUCUAGUUACCAAUAGUAUUUCUUGGUGGUAGUCUUAAAAUGCUUUUGACUUGCAGGGAUUGAUACCACUGGGGGUGUUAGAAUCCCAGCAUCAUUUUGUGGUGUUCUCGGCUUCCGACCAUCUCAGGGGACUGUUUCUUCAGUUGGAGUUUUGCCUAAUUCCCAGAGCCUAGAGACUGCGGGUAAGUUCCAUUCUUAUGCCCCCUUUCUUUGUCCACUGGAAGUUCUUAGUGUAUUUAUAUUUGUUACUGAUAAUAUUUUCUUCUGAACUGUUCUGUAGGAUGGUUUGCACGUGACCCAUCUGUUCUGUGUCAUGUUGGGCACGCCUUACUUAAUCUGAGUGCAGUAACGCAUAAAAGGCAAAGAUCUUUAAUCUUUGCCGAUGAUUUAUUCGAGCUCUCUGAUGUUCCUAAGCAAAAGUCGGUCCACGUUGUCAGAAAAGCAAUCGAAAAUCUACCUGGCUGUAAGUUUUUGCAAUAAUAUUGCUUCCUUCUCCUUUGCCCUUCUCUAAAUUUCUAUCUAAUGUUUCUUGGUCACCGCCUCGUGCAGAUCAGCCUCCAAAACAUAUGAAUGUUGGUCAGUAUGUAGCUUCAAACGUGCCAAGCCUUGUGGAGUUCUGUGAGAAAUCUGGUACAUCACAGGAUUCAGCAUCAAGUUUGAAGGCUCUUGCAUCUGUAAUGUUAUCAAUACAAAGGUAAUCUAAGAAGAUUGUCUUCUCACAUCAAUACUAUUUUUCCCUCUCUCGUUCCUUUUCAACUUGUGUUAACAUGAAUAAUAGUUUUUUUAUUUAAACCAGGCAUGAGUUCAAAACAAACCAUGAAGAAUGGUCGCAGACAUGCAAGUCGUUUCUAGGCCCACGAUUCUCCAGUGACGUUGUUACAGCUCUGAAGAGUAGAAACGAGAACAUUAAAUCUCUCUACAGGGUUAAAACUGAGACGCGUGCCACCAUUCAAAGCCUUCUAAAGGUAACCUUUUCAGUAAUUUUAAAAUCUCCCAACAUUUUGUCACUGGAAUACAAUAAAUGGAGAGGUUGCAUUGUUAAAGUUCUUCUGUAGUAUCAUUAUGAUAAACGAUGUAUACGGUAUCUUAUUACCAGGAAGAUGGAAUUCUGGUGAUCCCCACAGUUGCUGAUCCUCCUCCGAAGCUUAACACAAAGAACAAGAACGCUGUGAAUGAGUUCCUGGAUCGAAAUUAUGCACUCGCAAGCAUUGCUAGCAUGUCGGGUUGUUGUCAGGUAUAUUCCCAGUUCCUCUUUCUCACUUUCAGUUAUUGGAGAACUGUGUUGAUACUCUUGAUAGUUGAGUAAUAAUACAAAUUUUACCAGGUUACAGUUCCUUUGGGGAAACAUGGUGACAGUCCAAUCUCCGUGUCGUUUCUAGCUUACUAUGGAGGUGAUAAGUUCCUCCUCGAUACAAUUCUCGAUGUAUAUGCAUCCCUUCAGGACCAAGCCGAUAUUGCAGCCAGCUUAGCUCCAGUGACUGACUCCAAUGGUAUUGAACCUUCUGAAGUUAUGAAGGAAAAGGUAAAAAUGUGCUAUCAUUUUAAUUUGAAAAAUAGUGUAUGUGGUUCUGAUCCAUAUUCUACGGUGGAUUAACCUUAAUUCCCAGGGAAAUGCAGCAUACAAGGGGAGACAAUGGAAUAAGGCAGUGAGUUGUUACACUGAAGCUAUCAAAUUGAAUGGAGCAAAUGCUACUUAUUUUUGCAAUAGAGCUGCAGCUUACUUAGAACUUGGCCGGUAAUUUACUGUCUUCGUUCGUUAUCCUUCAUUCUGAUUCGAAAAUAGUUUGUUAUCCCCUUCUGAUCUGAGAUUUUGUGUUAAUAAGCUUCCAACAAGCUGAAGAAGAUUGUACCGAGGCUAUAUUGAUCGAUAAGAAGGUGCCAAACUUGAUUACUUAUUCUUUCUCCAUACUUCAUUCGAUCGCAUAGUUUACCUUUCUAGAUUGCCUUUAGCAUGUCUGUUUGCAAGUACACACUUCAGCAUCAAGACUCUUUCAUUAGAUUUGUGAAAUUUAGAGCUUCUGGCCUCGUUUCUGGUUUAGUUCUUGAUAGAUGUUGUAUUCAGUUUCACCACUUACUCACUAAAGACACAGCCACGUAUGACUUGAAAGAACUUGGGUAAGUUUGAUUCUUAUAGUUAUUUGUUUUUAUACAGAAUGUGAAAGCAUAUUUGAGACGAGGGACUGCUAGAGAAUCACUUAUACGGUACAAGGAAUCUGCUGCAGGUAAAUAAAACUGAUCUCAGACUCUGGCUUUUAUUAGAAUCUCUUCAUUUUUAUCUCCUUCGGUAUCACAUUUGGGAGACUUGUGUUUUGAUCAAUAAUCAAGAAAAGCAACUAUCUAAUCUUAGAAGGAGAAUUAUAGAGACAUUUAACUUAAUUUCAUUGUCACUUAUUAUUUCAAAUUUGCUGUUUAUAUUCCGGAGAGUAACAUAUGGUUUACUAUCUCUGCAGAUUUCAAGCAUGCAUUGGUCCUGGAGCCCCAAAACAAGACGGCAAAGAUUGCUGAGAAGAGACUCCGAAAACUCAUGAGUUAAGAGCGAAGAAGAAAAACAGUAUCUUACUUUUUUUCAAACCCUUCCUUGCUUACCAAGCUAUCUUUCGCUUCUCUACAACCCUAAAAGCAAAGGUUUUGAUUGUUUGGUUCAUGAUUUAAUCUCUUAACAGAUUUUAAUGAUUUAGUCAGCCUUAUCAUUAAAUGGAACGAAGCCCAAACUAUAUUACAAAACAUAAGAUGGGCUCAGGCCCAAUCUCGUACAGUUUAUCUAAUCAAGUUUAAUGAUUAUAUAAGAUAACCAUGCAAAUACACACGUGUACUGACACGCGGACGCAAAAGAUAGAGAGAAGGUUUAGAGGAUGAUUGUUUGUAGUUUUUGAAAUGGUUUUUGGUUUUUGUUUUUUAAAAACUACUUUAUUUUUCAAUCAAGAUUUUGAAGAAAUAGAUUCCCUAGAAAAUAGGAAAACUAGUUUUUGAAAUAACAGUUUAAUUGUAAACAAAAAUCAAAAUCUUACAGCAGUAGUUAACGUUGGUUUUUUUUUUUUUUCUAGAAAUUUAAAAUUUUAGUGGCAACUCUUUUGUUCUUAUUGCAUGGUUAUGUAUUUCCAAUUUACGUUCACAAGCAUCAUCUACUCACCAUUAAAAUCCAUAAACUUUAUUAAAUUAAAAUAAUAAAAAAUUCAACGUCCAACAACAAAAGAAAAACAAUAUUUUUAUUUGAUAUAACAUUUUAAAACACAACAAUCUUUUAUAGUUCACAUGCAAUAAUAUAUAUAUAAAUAUAUAUUUUUAGAUUUUCAGUGAUAGCAUAUUUUAAAUCACAUGAUACAAAAUUUUAAAUUGAAAAAUCUUAUUGGUUAAAGAUCAAAAACUUAUUGAAUAAAUUAAUAUUGCAGAUUAAUACAAAAUGGCACAUGAGUUUAGUUAUAAUUAUAAAAUUAAUUAGAUAUUGUAAAAGUUGUUUUAGUUAAAAUGAAAUAAAAUUUAAUUUUCAAAUAAACACGAAAUUAACUAAAUAUUGAAAAGUUUUCUUUAAGUGAAAAUAAAAUAUACAUUUAUUUUAAAUAAACACGAAAUGACUUAAAUAUUGAAAAAGUUUAUUUUAAUGAAAAAUUAAAUAUAUAUGUAUAUUGUAAAUAAAAAGAUAUGAAUUUUUUUAUCCAGAUAUAAUUUCAGAGUAAAGAUUAGAAUAUUUAUUUGAUUUGGUUGUUUUAGAAUAAUUCAAAUAAUUUAAAUAUUUAUACAAAGUUAAUUGAAUCAACUUUUUAAAAGGUAAUCAAAAUUAAAAAAAAAAUCACAUAUUAAUUAAGUCAUGACUUAAUAGAAUAGAUAUUUUAAAUUUUAUUAUUUAUUUUUCAAUAAUAACUAUUUUACUAUUUAUUAUUUUAAAAAAAACCAUAAACCAAAAAACAAAAUCUAAAACUGCCAAUCAAGUUUUUCAAAAAACCAAAAUCUACUGCAAAAUCAAAAACAAAAAAACUAAAAACCAAAAACUAGAAACCAAAAACCAAAAACUAAAAACCAAAAACCAAAAUCUAAAAUCUAACAAAACAAUCAUCACCUUAGUCGGACAAUAAAUGAAACCAGCUUUUGUUCUGUUUCAUUUUGUAAAAAAGAAACAAUUAAAAAAAAAUGGUUGAUUAUUUGAGAUUGUUGCGAUGCUUCAGCUUCACGGCAUCGCGUGAUUGGUUAUUCCGGCAAUCAUUCGCAAACGCUGGUCUCCGCUCCGUCACCACCGAUCUCUCCCACGGCGAUUCCAUCGCAUCCACAACGUCUAUGCAUUGCUGGAUCCCUAAAUCCCCUAACCGAUCCAAACCCAACCUCCUCCUCGUACACGGAUUCGGAGCCAACGCAAUGUGGCAAUACGGCGAACACCCCCGAUCCUUCACCGGCCGGUACAACGUCUACGUCCCCGAUCUCCUCUUCUUCGGACUCUCCUCCACUUCCGAACCGAACAGGACCGAGUCUUUCCAGGCUCGAUGCCUGAUGAGACUAAUGGAAGCGCACGGAGUCCAUACCAUGAACAUCGUCGGGAUAAGCUACGGUGGAUUCGUCGGGUACAGUUUAGCGGCGCAGUUUCCGGAGAAAGUGGAGAAGCUGGUGCUAUGCUGCGCCGGGGUUUGCCUUGAGGAGAAAGAUAUGGAGGAUGGUUUGUUCAAGGUUCCGAAUCUAGAAGAAGCCACCGAGAUCUUGAUUCCUCAGACGCCUGAGAAGCUUAAGGAGCUUAUUAGAUUCUCUUUCGUUAAGCCGAUCAAAGGCGUUCCUUCGUUUUUUCUAUGGGACUUUAUCGAUGUGAUGUGUACGGAGUUUGUGGAGGAGAAGAGAGAUUUGAUCAAGUCGAUACUCAAAGAAAGGAGACUUUCAGAUCUUCCUAGGAUCAAACAGGUGAGAAACUACACUUCUUUAGCUUUUCUUUUCCAUACAUUUCAUUUAGUAUAAAGCUGUGUUCUUGUUUUUGGUUUAAAUUAGAAAACUUUGAUCAUAUGGGGAGAAGAAGAUCAAAUAUUUCCACUAGAACUUGGUUACAGAUUGAAAAGGUAAACAACCCUUGGAUUAUUGUUCUUUUCAGUGAAACAGCCAUGUAUAUUUACCAAUAUUAUAUCAAGAAAAAAAAACUAUUAUGGAACAGAUAUAUAGGAGAUAAUGCAGAGAUGGUGGUGAUUAAAAAGGCAGGACAUGCUGUUAAUUUGGAGAAAUCCAAAGAGUUUCUCAAGCACUUGAAAUCUUUUCUCAUCGACUCUUUGUGAACUAGUUGUUCUGUUUAUCUGGAACUGUUCUGUUCUGGUAUCCGAUUCCUACAAGAAAAGAAAUGAAAAGUGGGUUUCGGUGAGCUAUUAUGAUUUUAGGCGCCAAUAAAAAAACAGAUCAACCGAUAAUUCGCUGCCUAAAAUUCUUCUUAAUGGGCUGCAUCUGUGAAAAGAUGAGCUUUGAGGAAAAUAAGAUAACGGACAUAUCUGAGAAGAGAGUUUACCCGUAUCAGUAGAUUGCACUUUUAAAAAAAAUUAGUUUGGGUUUUUCCGUAAGUUUUCUCUGUGGCACAAUGGCCUAGUAGUUCCUCUUAAUAGAGGCAGUUGCAGAGUUCGGUUUGAAUAUCUCUAGGUUAGCUAAAAAAAAGUUAAUUAACAAUACAAAUAAAUGUGAAAUUAUUCGAUUUGGGUUUGUUUUUUUUUAAUGCUGGAUAUAUUAUGAUAUUACAAACUCUGAGAAAUAUUACGGACGAUUUUGCGGCCGACAAUUCUACCUGCUUUAUAAAGAUUCACGUUUAACUGCAUCACAUAAAACGCCGUCCUAUCGGAUAUUUGACAGUACUCUUUGCUCUUUGUUACAAAUUUCUUGUACGUUGUUUCUCCAUUAAUUCACAUAAUUCAAUUUUCUUAUUUGGGUUUGUUUGGGAUGGAGAAAAAUAUAUGGCUGAAGUGAAAAUCCGAUUUUGGUAAAUCCAAACCAAAAUCAUUUUUCUUUGUUUUCACCAUACUUCAGUUUUAUCUGGCUCACAUUUCGAGGAUCGCUGGAUUUGCACAAGAUGUGUAGCUCGAAUUAUACUGGGAAGAUUCCAAAAACGUUGACUCUUAUACAUGACAAGAUAAUUGGGACCAAUAUGUGGAUUGUUAAGUCAACAUGAGAAGCGGGUCGGUCGGUCGGCGGCAAAAUCAGACCAACGUACCACACAAGAUUAUUAACUGAUUAAUAAACCCAACUUAUCCUAAGAUCAUGAUUAAUGGAGAAUUCUUAGGUGAAGUUAUUAGCGGAAUAUAAGCAAUCCUUUAUUAACUUUUAAGAGGCAGUUUCUUAUAUUCCGCUAAAAAUUUCACUAAUCAUGCUCUAAAAGGCUAAUAAUAUACAUAUAUACUAAGUGAAUUGGUAGGAAGCUUUUGUUAAAGAACAUAAGAUUUAAACGAUUCUAUUACUUCACGAAUACCAGGUAAAAUUUUCAUUAAAUUUAAUUUUUGCUUAACUACUCUAUUUAGUGGCACUUCUGAAAGACCUUGACAAGAUUUAAUAUUGUAAUUGUCGAUACCAACGUUUUUCGGCUUAGUCAUCUGUGAUUAAAUUACGUAGUUACGUAAAGAGGAGUUACAUAUUGCCGGUUGUGCGGACUAAUAAGUAAAGAGGAGUUAGUCAUCUUGGCUGGUUGUGCGGACUAAUAAUUGUUUAAUCUUGUGGGGUUUGAUACAAUUGCCGGCACACGUUGAAUACAGACGAAUUCUUUUUUUUUUAUCAAAAAAAAAGACGACUGACACUUGUCACGAAUACAGACGAAUACUAGUAGCGAAUAAUCACAGGACAACAAGAUUCAAUUUAAGACGACUGACCCUUGUUUAUAUCAUUUAUUAUAUAUAAUUUCUUAAUAAUUUGAUUGGACAUAUUACUUUCGCUAGUCUUUUUCAGCAUCGACUGUAGAUAGAAAUGCUCAAUUAUUGUAGCUGUUGAACCAGUGUCGUUGUCACUGAAUAAGAAUGGUGGUCAUUACAAAAUUUGCUCUACGAUGACUUUGAUUUUCUUUUUUUUUGGUAAAACGUUAAAUUUAUUAUACCAAAUUUUUGAUUUUUGACAGAAAUUACAUAGAAACUAGUAGCAGAAUUGCAUAAUUUAAACUAAGCAACAUACAAGUAAAUGAACUCAGGUGAGGCGAGAGCUGAAGUCAAAGCAACGACAGACAACGAGGCAGGCUCAGACCAGGAAGACGGGAAUGGAGCGGGAAGGCCCGACGGUUGCCACAAGCCCGAGAGAAAGGCGCCUUCAAACCUUGGAUGCACGGUGCCUACAGCUUCCUAGAGACCCACCAAACACAAACCAAUCCAAAGAAUCGCAAGCACGGACUGGCUCACCACUAGACACGAACUACAACCGGCGACACGAGAUUGCGACACCAUCCGACGAUGCCGUCGUACGAGAGGAAAACUUGAAGAUUGCCGCCUAAAAAUCCGCCUUCUGUGACCGUAUACACCCUUUUAACCCAAAGUCCAUAUAGAACAGAGAGACCAGAUGGGUACACACCUCCAGAGCAGCUAACAUCGAGCGAGAACACAAGAGCCGAGAGCCCAAUUGGCGUCCUGUCACUAAUAAAAAAAACCACUCAACCCUCAAUAGAGCCAAUGUACCUGCAAGAAGCACAAGGAGGAAAGACAGGGGCGAGGAGCGCCACACCGCCGGUGCACAGGUUCCGAAGUGGAGAGCCAAAGCUAACCACAAGACGCCGCCAGUGAAGACCACCACGAGGAGAGUCGAGACCCAUCCUCAGAAGACUCCACGCCACCCACCAGAGACCACCGAUGGAAAACAAAACCCUAGCACGAGACCGGAGCAGAACAGCUCCAAUCGGACCUCCGAGGGAAGCCCAUCCCCACGACAGUCACACGCCACACUGAAGGAAGAGAGGACACCUCGGAGAGACCACCGGCGUCACACGCGCCACCUAUCCUGAAGAGCCGAGAACGAGAUCUGAAAAUCUCACCGGACAGAGACCGCUAUCGAAAGAGGAGACAAAUGCGACGAGGCGAGCGCCGUCCUCAAGCACCGCACACAGCACCGAGAACCUCCUAGAUCUACGACGGGAGCUCUGGAUCUGAACCAGACGAGGACGACUCGUUAAGCUACCUUCCGCCACAAAGAAAACAGACUACAAAGAGACACAAGGAGAAGCGGAAACACUGGAAGUGAGCCUCCGAAGACUGCAAAGGAGGACGCGGCGGCCGUCGGAGCAAACGAGGUGAUGAAAACGGUGUAGGGUUUCUUAGAGAGAGGCGAGAGAAAAGUUUUGAGAGAGAGGAAACCUUGUGAAUUUUCUUUUCCAUGACUUCGAUAUUUUGUUUGCGUUUGUGUUUAGUUUAGCGUUUGCAACUAAGUUAAUGAAACAACCAUUUUUACGGCUUUAACUGAAAUUACUUUAUACGUUGUUGCGAGUUGUGACAAUCGAAAAAACUUUCCUUGCCUCCGGUCUUUUUUCUAUAUCUUUUGUAAGAACAAAUAUAUAUUAUAAGUACCUGAAAUCUCUACUACUUAUGUGAGGCACAUCUUUCAGAAAAUUAAGCACAAUCUUGCAAAAUCAACAUGUUCCAUGCUUUUAUUUACGUUUCAUAUAUAUAUGCUCCUGCUUUUACAUUCUUUGACCCCAAAAAAAAAAUUAGGGAAAAAGGAGAAACAUAGUGAUCCAAGUGGGCGUGCAUGUAACAUUUGCCCAUAAUAAGACUGUUACGUGUACUCUGAAAGUCAAAAGUUAGGUUAUGGAGGAGAAUAUGUAUCUUAACAUUAUAUUCGACUUCGUUUGCUAACUUUAAUUGACUUCGCCGACGUACGGUAUAUACAUAUGUAUAUCUCAUAUUACAAUAUGCCCCCCUUCAAAAUUCCAUAUCUUCUGUUAAGCAGAUAAAUAAUAAAUGCAAUGCAUUAAUAAUAAUAACCAAAAAAAUUGUUAUAAAUCAUUAUGUGGAUGGCCCAUAACCAAGACCAAGACAAGGCCUAACCGUGUCCAAGAGGAGAGAGAGUCGGCGGCUGAGGAGAGAGAGUCGGCCUAUCCUUUGGCCGACCUUAGAUCUAGGAUGUUUCCAUUUAUCUGUUUUAGAUCUUUUCCUAUUUCAUGUUGUAUUAGGUUUUGGAUAAUUUACUUUUUCCUAUACUUUGUAAUCCUUAUAUAAGGAACAUCUAUUACUCAUUAAUAAUACACAUACAAUUCUUCAUUUUUUUACAACACGUUAUAAGCACGAUCGUCUCUAGAUCCCUGAGACAAAUCGAAACCUCUAACCCUAAAAGCCAAAACCGGCGACCACAAACCAAAACCCUAAUCUCGUUCUAAGUUCAAUCAAGAACUCAGAAGAUCCCUCUUGAAUACCAUACAUUCUCAGAUCACGUUUUCAGCUCAGAAGAACCGUCCAGCUCGCAUCCACACCCGAGACGCGAUCGCACACGACCCGCGUCCGAGAGACUCGCACCCGAGGCAGCCGGCGAUCGUCCUCAGCUCGCGUCUGCUCCCAUCCGCGACCCGAUUGCAUCCGUUCGUCCUCUCUCUCUCUCUAAAGGUGGUCCGGUUCUAAAUCCCCUACAAACAAAGGUAAAACUUAAUCUGAGAACCUAGAUUGAUCAGAAACCCUAAUCCAUAAUUAUGGAAACUUUGAUCUUGAUUAAAACCCUAAAACCUACAAGAUUAAAAUCGGCAAUCUCCUAACUAGAAAAAUAGAAAUCGAUUCCUUAGAACUUGAAUUGAUUGUUCUUGAUUUGAUUUUGAGAAACCCUAAUUUAGGAAUCGAAACCCUAAACCCUAAAGAGUUGAAUUUGAUUUUUAAUUGAUUGAAUGCUUGAUGUUUGAGGUUUUAGGAUUGUUAGAUUGAUUGAAGUAAUCUGAUCUAGGACUUGAAUCCUAAAGGCCUUGAAACCUUAAUCUUGAAAUUGAAUCCUUCUAGUGUUCAAAUCGGAAACCCUAGGAUUGUUUUGCAUACAUAUGAAUCUGAAUUGAAUUGCAUUCAUACUGUUUAAUAAAAUCGACCAGCAUGUAGAAAUAUAAUGAAUUCGAAUCUGAUUGCAUUGAAAUUCAUAUGGCCGUGUGGCCUUAAUCUCUCUGGUACAUAUAGAAUCAAAUAUUAGGAUUGUUCGCACCAUGGUCAAAUUAGUUUUACAUGUCCGAUCCUAUUGCUUGUUAACCUAGCCGUGCGGCUUGAUUGUUCGCACCAUGGUCGAUUAGAUUGAUUGUUUUCUCAUAGAUGCGUAAGACAAGUUUGUGGCCGAGCUUGUUAUACCAUGCGGCCACAAGAUCACAUUGUGAACCUAAAUUGAAAUGAUGAUGUGAUUCAGAUGUCGAAAAUCUCAAAUAGAGACUACGCAGCCCUUAAUCUCUCCGAAGAUAACUACUUACAGUGGGCGCUAGAUACAAAGAUCAGCUUAAGGUCAAAAGGUCUUGGUGAUACAAUCAUCAAGGACAACAAUGAGACUGACAAGAAUCGGUACAGGGCUAUAAGUAUUAUACGCCAUCACCUCAUUGAAGGUCUAAAAGAUCAGUACAUUACGAUGGAAAAUCCACUAGAGCUUUGGGAUGCUUUCCAGCAUAGAUAUGAUCACUAGAAAACAGUGUUACUCCCAAAAGCUAGAAAUGACUGGAAGAAUCUAAGAUUCAUGGAAUAUAAGUCAGUGGAUGAGUACAAUUCGGUCUUGUUCAAGACGUUCUCCAUGCUGAGACUCUGUGGUGAAGUAGUAACCGAAGAAGAGUUACUCGAGAAAACAUUCUCUACGUUUCAUUCCUCAAACAUAAUCCUGCAGCAGCAAUACCGAAUGAAAGGCUUUGCCACAUACACUGAUCUGAUCUCGUGCCUGCUCCUGGCCGAGGCAAAUAAUGAGCUCCUAACGAAGAACAGUGAAGCUAGACCUGUCGGAUCUGCCCCAUUACCAGAGGCCAAUGAAGUUGAAAAGAAAAAUCCCAACGAGUGCAAUUUCAUCCAGAAUGAUAAGAGAUCACAUGGCAAAGGUCGUGGUGGAUACAGGAACCGUGACAAUUACUCGAACGGUCGAGAUAAGUACUUGGCCGGCCGGAAAGGAAACCACAAUAACCGUGGUCGUGGUUCCAAUCCCGGCCGUGGCCAAGGCGGAUAUGGACGAGGUCAAGGCGGUAUAUCCAAACCGUCUUACUCAACCAAAUCCGUUUGUCACAGAUGUGGGAUGAGCAACCAUUGGGCCAAGAAUUGUAGAACUCCUAAGCACUUAUGUGAGCUCUACCAAGAGAGUCUUAAGGACAAGAACCCGGAGGCUCAUAUGGUCCAUGAUUCCGGAUAUGAGGCUGAUAAAGAAUCAGAUGUUGCAAAUGACGACCUAAGAAGAGCACUUUGGUGCCUUCUUAGAUCGUUUCGAGCUUCUUCCUUUCCCCCCGCCGCCUCCGCCCGCCGCUAAACAAACCCUCUCCGGUCUCACCUUCUCCAUCUCCGACGCGU